CCGGUACACCUGUUGACAAAUUUUAAAAGAAAUACACCUUGGGUUAGUGGAAACUCAACACCUGUUAAACCUUUUCUUAGAAUAGCGCCACGUGUAAAUGCAUGCAAGUAUCUCAUUUAUAGACACGUAGCACAAGCAGUGUGUGUAUCCUCCUCUACCAACAUAUAUAUGAAUGGAUCAGUUUCGUACAAUCUCACAACAACUCAAACUUUUCUGUCAAGAGAAUCGAAAGAAUUCAAGUUGAAGAUUCUUUUGAUAUCAGAUUUGAUUAGCUCGGUCUCUAUUUUUUCUGUGAAGUUAAUUGAUUUGGUCUUCAAGAAGAGAAAUAAGAUGAAGAACAAAAGGAAAAGAUAAAAUGAAAAAAGAGCGUGUUUAUAGACACGCUUGUUUGAAGUUUAUCUUUUUGAAGGAUUUGUGGUGAAAGAUUCAAUGGAGUUUGUAUACAAGCAUGUUGUUAUGCUUUCACGUUUACAAGUAGCCUGUGUAGAGGAAGAGAAAGUAAAGAAAGUUUCUUUCAAGAUUGAUAAGACAAGCUUGAUGGGACUAGACACUUUCUUUUCCUCUUUCUUUCUCUCUGUCCUUCCCUAGCUAAUAGCUUGGGUGAAUGUAUUUAUAGAGGUAUAGUUUAUCGUGCCUCUUCGAGGUGAACUUUAUUUUCGUAAAAAAAUUAAGUGGUAGCUGCUUUUACCUUUAUGUAUUCACACCUAAAAUCAAAUAUAUAUUCAUCUCAGGUUUUGUACAGUUAUUAUUCAUGUUUUUUGUUUUAUAUACAUUUAUUUACUAUUUUAUUUCUUUUACUGUUAUUAUUUUAUUUUUUUCACACAAUUUUUUUUUAUUCAUUAAUAUUAACCCAUUGUCUGUGUUUAAGAAAAAAAAUGCUUAAUAUUUUUUCUUCACACAGACAAUUUUUUUAAUGUUCAAAGUUGAUUACUCACCAUUCUAUAUUUUUACUACGUGGCGGGUUGGUGUUCCUCCUCCAUAGAUCAUCAUGCUCUUCUUUCACUUUUAUGCAUUACACUCAAUCUUUUAUUGCUCAAAGAUGAUACUCAUCAAUCUGUUUAUUUCCAUGUAUCACACAAUUUUUUCAAUGUGAUUACUCAUCUCUUCAAUUUUUUAUUACGUGGAGGUAUGGAAAGGAAGCUCUUCUGCUUAAAAAUUACCACAUUUUUCUUUCAUUUCCAUACAUCUCCUUCAUUCUUCCCAUGUAACUUUCCUUUAUUUAUUUAUUUUUUUUUUUUGAAUAUCAAUUCUGAGGUAUAUGUUUUCUAGAGGUCACAAUUCAUCUCCUCACUUUGCACACAAUAUGAAUCCUAUUACUGAAAUAAAAGAACUCCCUCCUAAUGCUCUUUCGUACCUUAAUGAUUUGCGAAAUAAAUUAUUAUUUGGAGCACUCUCUUUCUAAUUCAAAGGAUGUUAAUCGAGAACAGGCUAUGGAAUGUCAUGAUCAUAUACGUCAACUAGAUGGCCUAACUGAUCGUGUUGAAGAGCUGUGUUCGAGAACAUUGUUUCUCAAAAACGAACUACUGCAUGAAUCGACUAUUAUUUCUAAAAAAGAUGCCGAGAUGAAGCGUGUCCUUAUCGAGCAUGACGAAAACGUGCAUGUCCUUUGCAAUCAAUUUAAUAGGAAUGUGGAGAUGUUAAAGACUGAAAUCCAAAUAUGGUUUCGUCAAUAUUUGGAUGCUAGAUUUCUUGUCUCGCUAAUAUCUCCCAUUUUUAAUAAUCGGGAUACUUCAUUUGAUAACAUGUAUAUUGUAUAAUAUGUAUAUAUAUGUGUGUCAAAACUGUUUAGAAUAUUAAAAAAAAAAUUAUAUUAAAAAUUUGUGAUCCAUCAAAAUAAAAUUUACUUUAAUAAAUAAAUAUGUCUCUUAAAUAAAAAACAUAACCAAUUAAAAUAGUCUAAUUGAUAAAUUUUAUCUCGGUUAAGUUUGUUUGAAUAAAAUAAAAAAAAAAUUACCAUGACUAAAUAAUGUUUAAAGAAAGAAUAUAAAAAAAAAUUUUACAAAUGAUAAUGUAUUUAUUUUAUCGACAAAAUAAUUAUGAAUUAAUAGUGAUAUAAAGGGUUAUACCAACGCACUAUAAAAAAAAAUUCACAAAUGACGAUCUAUUUAUUUUUACAGAUAAAAUAAUUAUGAAUUAAAUAUAUGUAUAUAUAUUUUAUAAAAUAAACAAACCCUAAUUAAAUUUAACCAACCAAAAUAAUUUCUACGUAAUAAACUACAAAUAGAUAGGUAAACCUACAAAUAUAAUAAUGCUUCCAAAACUUAAACAGAAAGUAAAUAAAAAAAAAUAAGGCUAAAUAUUGUAUUAGAAAAUAUAUAAUUUUUUGUUAAAUAUACCCGUCAACUAUAUGUAGAAACCAGUUGAAGAUAACAACACUUUAAUAAAUUUAUUUGAGGAAAAGAUAAAAAGAUGUUUGUUUUAAAAAUAAAAAAAUAAUAAAGUAAAUAUGAAGGAACACUACAUAUUGUUAUGUCUGAAUUACUCGGCUUACUACAAUUUUUUUUUUUUUUAAAAAAAAAACAAAUAAAAAAAACUAUAGCUAAAUAUUGUCUGUAAAAUAAAUACAUUGUCAUUUGUAAUUUUUUUUUAUUCUCUCUUUAAACAUUAUAUAUUGUCAUAGUCAAUUAUUUUUUUAAUUUUAUUCAAACAAGUUUAACCGAGAUAAAACUUAUCAAUUAGACUAUUUUGAUUGGUCAUGUUCUUUAUAUUAAAGGACAUAUCUUUAUUUAUUAAAUUAAAUUUUGUUUUAAAGGAUCAUAAAUUUUUUAAUAUUGAGUUAUAAUGAUUUUUUUUUUUAAAUAUUCUAAACAGUUUUGACACAUAUAUAUACAUACUAUACAACAUACAUGUUAUCAAAUGGAGUACCCCGAUUAUUAAGGAUGAGAUGUUAGCGAGACAGGAAAUAUAGCAUUCAAAUAUUGACGGAACCAUAUUUGGAUUUCAGUCUUUAACAUCUCCACAUCCCUAUUAAAUUGAUCACAAAGGACAUGCACGUUUAUGUCAUACUCGAUGAGGACACGCCUCAUCUCGGCAUUUUUUUUAGAAAUAAUAGUCGAUGCAUGCAGUAGUUCGUUUCUGAGAAACAGUGUUCUCAAAGACAGCUCUUCAACACGACCAGUUAGGCCAUCCAGUUGACAUAUAUGAUCAUGACAUUCCAUAGUUCGUUCUCGAUUAACAUCCUCUGAAUUAGAAAGAGAUUGCUCCAAACAAUAUACUUUAUUUCGCAAAUCGUUAAGGUACAAAAGAGCAUCAGGAGGGAGUUAUUUUAGUUUAGUAAUGAGAUUUAUGUUGUGUGCGUGAGGAGAUGAACUGUGGCCUCUAGAAGACAUACCUCAGGAUUGAUAUUCAAAAAAAAGAGGCAAAAAGGAGGUUUCAUAGGAAGAAUGAAGGAAAUGCAUGUAAAUAAAAGAAAAAUGUGGUAAUUUAUAGGCAGAAGAGCUUCCUUCCCAUGCCUCUACGUAGUAAAAAGUUGAAGAGAUGAGUAAUCACAUUGAACAGAAAAAAGAUUAGUAUGAUGCAUGGAAGUGAAAAGACUGAUGAAUAAUCAUUUUUGAGCAAUAAAAGAUUGGUGUGAUGCAUGGAAGUGAAAGAAGAGCAUGAUGAUCUAUGGACAGGAGGAACACCAACCCUUUACGUAGUAAAAAAAAUAGAGAGGUGAGUAAUCAACUUUGAACAGUAAAAAAAUUGUCUGUAUGAAGAAAAAACAUUGAGCGUUUUUUUUUUCUUUAAAUACAGACAAUGGCAAAUAAAAUAGUAACAGUAUAAGAAGUGAAAUAGUAAAUAGUUGUGUAUAAAACAAAAAACAUGAAUGGUAGCCGCACAAA